GAAGGUUAGGGGCAAAACGGGAAUUUCACAAAUGUUCAAGAAAAUUCUUGAAAGGGCCAAGUUGGCCGUGUAAGGGUGUGUGUAUGUGGGUCCCAUUAUUUUAUGACCAUGUGAUCAUAUAUAUGGACCAAGGCUUAUAAGGCAAGAUAUUAGUCAUCUUUUAAUUUAAAAAAAAUUCAAGAAAAAGGAAGAAAAUUCUAGAAAAAGAAAGAAGGGGGCAUGUGGUCUAUUAGUAUGAGUAAUGUAUAUAUAUAUGGGAGAGAUGAUAAAAGACUCAUUAGUCAUCCUUUACAACUCUAGAAAGUGGGAGAAACAUGAAAAAAAAAGACAAGCAUAUUCGGCCGUGGUUGGCCGAAUUGAGGUUCAAGGAAAGGGACCAAAAAAAUUAAUUCUUCUAGUUUCUCUACCAAUUGGAUCAUCCUCUUUAACAUGGGAGAGUUGUUGGAGUAAGAAAAUUACUCAUUUUUGCAAAAACAAAAUACCUUGGCCGAAAGUUGAAGGAUAAGUGGAAAAGACUAGCGAUAGCGAGCUUGGACGAUUAAGCGUAGCUAAUAGGACGUGGAACAGGUAUGUAAGGCUCGUCCCUUUUCUUUCAAGGCAUGAAUCCGAUGCUAUGAAUUCAUAAUUGCUCCCAUAUUUUCCUUGUUUUCCAAAGUUAGAAGUCUAUGAUUCUAAUGCAUGAUUUUCUUUUUUAUAACCCAUAAAUGUUUUCCAAAAUGUCUACACUUUUCCAAAACAAAGGUUCAUGAUUUGUAAGCUUUCAUGACUACAACCACGGACAUAAUUUUGUAAUGAACACGAUGUUGUCAAAGACGAAAAUAUGUCUAUGAUGAUUAUGAUGAGAAUGGUUUCAUGUUUGAAAGUCUCAAGGUAUGGGCCCAAUACGAAUAUGAGAAUAUUGAGCUAGUUCUUGAUCCUUAAUUUUAUUCCUUAAUUAUGACGCCAUUUUCUAAAGACUUCAAAGUGUAUGAAUUGACGCCUUAUGAGGUUUAUGAUCUUAUUAUAUGUUUUCUCUUCAUGCUGUUCUUUAUUGAUAGUCUCGCCUUAUAAUAUUAGUUCCUUCAAGGUGAGACAAAGCCAUGACGAUUAUUCCAUAAUAUAAUCGGAGGUUACCGACCUUACGUCACUCUGAUGGGUACAUGACUUUCCUUGGGCUCUCCUGCAUGCUGCUAUAUGAUAUGUAUAUAUAUGUAUAUGGGGAAGAUGGGAAAAGGGCCAGGCGCUAUAGACGCACAGCCACCUGAUCAGUUGGAGUAUGAUAUCGUCCCAGACGCGGGAUAUGUGGUUAAAUGGAUCGGAGCCGACGCCUCGGCAAUAUGAUAUGUUCUAUUUUCUAUAUAUAUGAAAAAGAAAUGUUUUCAAAUGGAUCGGGCUGCACGUUCCGCAGCAAUAUGUGUAUAUGGAUCGGGCUGCACGUUCCGCAGCAAUAUAUGUAUAUAUGGACCGGGCUGCACGUUCCGCAGCACUAAGCAUGCAGGGUAUCCGCCUAAGCGGCACUCAUAUGUACAGGUUACUCUUUUACUUCAUGAUAUGUUCUGUAUUUCCAUUAUGUUAUUAUUCACAUUUAUAUUCCUUACUGUAUUACUAUACAUGCCUUGCAUACUCAGUACAUUGCUCGUACUGACCCCUUUUUCUUUGGGGGCUGCGUUUCAUGCCGCGCAGGUACAUCCAGAUGAGUAGAACCUAUUACAGAAGAGGUUCCAGCAGAGUUGGCAAGCUCCAUUUGGCCCUGGAGUGUUGCCGAGUCAGAGCUGGUAUGCUAGGAUUUCUGGGUUGAUGUUAGAGACUUUGCAGACAAAGUCGUGGGUGUAAUGUGUCAGUCUUGAAAGAGGCUUCACCAACCGAUGUGUCAUUCGUGUUAUGAUAUAAGUUUCAUAUAAUUAAAGAUUUUGUUUGAAUCGAGUACAAAAAAAAAGGGAAUUCUGAAAGCUUAGCUAUGUUUUCAUAUCUUAUUAAUGUAAGAGUCUAAAGAGAUUAAGUAUGUAAUAAGAGUCAGCGGGUUCGCUCGGCUCCGAAUAUGGGGUCGGGUGCCCAUCACACCCUAGUAAGGUCGGGGUGUGACAUGACAGUUAUGAACAUAAAUAUUCUCGAGUAAGAAAAUCAGGGAGACUAUUAUCUGA